rnacentral:rRNA from 1 species
UACGUAGGGUGCAGGCGUUAAUCGGAAUUACUGGGCGUAAAGCGUGCGCAGGCGGUCUCUUAAGACAGGUGUGAAAUCCCCGGGCUUAACCUGGGAACUGCGCUUGUAACUGAGAGGCUAGAGUGUGGCAGAGGGGGGUGGAAUUCCACGUGUAGCAGUGAAAUGCGUAGAUAUGUGGAGGAACACCGAUGGCGAAGGCAGCCCCCUGGGGCUA